rnacentral:rRNA from 1 species
UACAGAGGUGGCAAGCGUUGUUCGGAAUUACUGGGCGUAAAGCGCGUGUAGGCGGCUCUUCAAGUCAGGCGUGAAAGCCCCGGGCUCAACCCGGGAACUGCGCUUGAUACUGUCGGGCUAGAGUGUGGAAGGGGCGAUUGGAAUUCCGUGUGUAGCGGUGAAAUGCGUAGAUAUCCGGAAGAACACCAGAGGCGAAGGCGGAUCGCUGGGCCAACACUGACGCUGAGACGCGAAAGCUAGGGUAGCAAACGGG